GCGCGUGCUGAGGUGGGCGAGCGGCCGACAUGGCGCCCUCCGGGCGUCUGGUUUCUUUGGUGGCCUUGGUGGUGGUGUUUUGGGGGGCUCCCUGGGCCCACGGCCGGCGGAGCGACGUGCGCGUCAUCACGGACGAGAACUGGACAGAGCUGCUGGAAGGAGAGUGGAUGAUAGAAUUUUAUGCUCCCCGGUGUCCUGCUUGUCAGAAUCUUCAACCAGAAUGGGAAAGUUUUGCUGAAUGGGGAGAAGAUCUUGAGGUUAAUGUUGCAAAAGUAGAUGUCACAGAGCAGACAGGACUAAGUGGACGGUUUAUUAUAACUGCUCUUCCUACUAUUUAUCAUUGUAAAGAUGGUGAAUUUAGGCGCUAUCAGGGUCCACGGACUAAGAAGGACUUCAUAAACUUCCUAAGUGAAAAAGAGUGGGAGAGUAUUGAACCAGUUUCAUCAUGGUUUGGUCCAGGUUCUGUUCUGAUGAGUAGUGUGUCAGCACUUUUUCGGCUAUCUAUGUACAUCAGGACUUGUCAUAACUAUUUUAUUGAAGACCUUGGAUUACCAGUUUGGGGUUCAUACACAGUUUUUGCUUUAGUGACUCUGCUUUCAGGACUAUUAUUAGGACUUGGUAUGAUAUUUGUUGCAGAUUGCCUUUGUCCUUCAAAAAGGCGCAAACCACAGCCAUACUCUUCAAAAAAAUCAUUACCAGAAUUUUCUCAGCCUUUGAAAAAAGUGGAGGAAGAACAAGAGGCUGAUGAAGAAGAUGUUUCAGAAGAGGAAGCAGAAAAUAAAGAAGAGACAAACAAAGACUUUCCACAGAAUACCAUAAGACAACGCUCUGUGGGUCCAUCAUUGGCUACAGAUAAAUCCUAGUUAAUUUUUACAGAUACCUUAAUACUACAGUUUUGACAAAAGCAAAAGAUCGAUCAUUUGUUUUGAAGUGAACUGUGACUUGCUUGUAUUUUGCAGGGCUCAGUGUAAGUGAUCAUAGAUUGAACAGUUUUCAUUCAGAAAA